GUCGAUGCUGGUUAGUUUUCAAGAAGCCAUCCAGUAAAGGGCCUCGUCGACUGGAGAAAUAUCCUGAUGAGAAGUCUGCCCACAUCAGAACCUGUCCGAAGGUGACAGAAAUUAGCAACGUUAAGACUGUGACAAGGCUGCCUCGGGAUACCAAGAGACAAGCAGUGGCCAUUGUAUUUACUGAUGACACCUCUCGCAUGUUUACUUGUGAAUCAGAACUGGAGGCAGAAGACUGGUUCAAGAUACUAUCAAGUGAAUGUCUGGGAGCAAGGGUUAGUGACAUCAAUAUGGGAGAACCAGACCUCCUGGCAGCUGGAAUGCAAUGUGAACACACAGGUGUAAUUACCAAAUACACACAGAUACACACUUUGAAGAGUAUUAUUUGAACUAACAAUGUUUUAGGCAAGAGA